GACGUAGGGGGCCAGCGUUGCUCGGAAUUACUGGGUGUAAAGGGUUCGUAGGCGGUGUGGCAAGUCGGGAGUGAAAUCUCUGGGCUCAACCCAGAGUCUGCUUCCGAAACUGCUGUGCUUGAGUGUGGGAGAGGCGCGUGGAAUUGCAGGUGUAGCGGUGAAAUGCGUAGAUAUCUGCAGGAACACCCGUGGCGAAAGCGGCGCGCUGGACCACUACUAACGCUGAGGAACGAAGCUAGGAGCAACAGG
rnacentral:rRNA from 1 species